rnacentral:rRNA from 1 species
UACGUAGGGUGCGAGCGUUAAUCGGAAUUACUGGGCGUAAAGCGUGCGCAGGCGGUUUUGUAAGCCAGAUGUGAAAUCCCCCGGGCUCAACCUGGGAAUGGCAUUUGGGACUGGCACGCUCGAGUUCGGGAGAGGAUGGUGGAAUUCCCAGUGUAGAGGUGAAAUUCGUAGAUAUUGGGAAGAACACCGAUGGCGAAGGCAGCCAUCUGGACCGACACUGACGCUGAGGCGCGAAAGCGUGGGGAGCAAACAGG